UCCCUGACACUGCCUGGUGACCGUCCAGCGGCCGGGCCAACACAACUCAUCAAAUUACACUAUAUUUUAUAAAUAAAACAAGAAGAAGAAAAAAAAAGGCGGGAAGACGCGCGCGGAAGCGGUGGGCGAUGGCCGCCAUCUACGGGAAGAUAUUCGUGGGUAUCUACGUGGAGAUAAAGCGGAGUGACGGAAGAAUACACCAGGCUAUGGUCACGUCGCUGCACGAGGACAACGACAGCGUAACGGUCGAGUGGAUCGAAAAUGGCGACACCAAAGGAAAAGAGAUAGACCUGGAGAGUGUUUUCGCCCUGAACCCGGAUCUUGCCCCCGAGGAAGACGUGCCUCCGAGUCCCGAGACUCCGCUUCCUCCUUCCAACGUGGCCAAAACCAGCAAAGUACCCAAGAGCAGACGAGCUACUGCCAUACCCAAACCGGAGAACACCCCACGGGAGAACAGAGCUGCGGCAGUAGGAACCACCCGAGCCCGUCCGAGCCAGCACAGCCAGUCCUCUGAGCCCCCUCCCCCGUCCAUCACCACCCAACCCGCAGCCGCAACAGUCACGGCAGCCAACCAGUCACUGAUGCAGCAGCAGAACGCGCGAAGGAAGUCCAACUGCGUCAAGGAAGUGGAGAAGCUGCAGGAGAAGCGGGAGAAACGCCGACUUCAACAACAAGAGUUGCGAGAGAAACGUGCUCAGGAAGUGGACGUCAACUUGCCAAACUAUGAGAUCAUGUGCAUGAUCCGAGACUUCCGGGCUAGUCUGGACUACCGCCCUUUGACCUCCAAUGACCUGAUUGAGGAACACCGGAUAUGCGUGUGCGUGCGCGCGCGACCGCUUAAUAAAAAAGAACUGUCCGUCAAGGAUCUGGACGUGAUCACCAUUCCCAGCAAAGAUGUGGUGAUGGUUCACGAGCCCAAACAAAAGGUGGACCUGACGCGCUACCUGGAGAACCAGACAUUCCGCUUUGACUACGCCUUUGACGAGAACUCCACCAACGAGAUGGUCUACAGAUUCACCGCUCAGCCUCUGGUGGAGACCAUAUUCGAGCGGGGAAUGGCCACAUGCUUCGCGUACGGGCAAACGGGAAGUGGAAAAACACACACCAUGGGAGGGGACUUCUCAGGGAAGAACCAGGAUUGCUCCAAAGGCAUCUACGCACUGUCGGCUAGAGACGUCUUUCUCAUGCUCAAAAAGCCAGUCUACAAGAAGUUGGACUUACAAGUCUUUGCUACCUUUUUUGAGAUCUACAGCGGGAAGGUGUUCGACCUGCUGAACCGCAAAGCCAAGUUACGUGUGUUGGAGGAUGGCAAACAGCAGGUGCAGGUGGUGGGUCUUCAAGAGCGGGAGGUGAAAGGCACGGAAGACGUUCUCAAGCUCAUCGAAGUGGGAAACAGUUGCAGGACCUCCGGUCAAACCUCGGCUAACGCCCACUCGUCGCGCAGCCAUGCAGUCUUCCAGAUCAUCUUGCGGCGCCGUGGCAAGAUGCACGGGAAGUUCUCUCUCAUCGACCUGGCGGGCAACGAGCGGGGCGCCGACACGUCUAGCGCCGACCGCCAGACGCGCCUGGAAGGAGCGGAGAUCAACAAGAGCCUGCUGGCCUUGAAGGAGUGCAUCCGAGCUCUGGGUCGGAACAAACCGCACACUCCCUUCCGGGCCAGCAAGUUAACUCAGGUGCUGAGGGAUUCCUUCAUUGGAGAGAACUCUCGGACUUGCAUGAUCGCCACCAUCUCGCCCGGAAUGGCGUCCUGUGAAAACACGUUAAACACGCUCCGAUACGCCAACAGAGUGAAGGAAUUCGGGAUCAGCCCCUCCGACAUUCCCUUCUCGCAGAGUGCUCGCACCGACCUUUCUCCGACUUACGAUGCGAAGGAGCUGUCGACGGAGCCGGCAGCUGCUACGGACCUUCUGGCGGAUGGACACGUAAACCAGCUGGACGUCCUGGAGGCCCAGUGGGGCGUUGGCAGCUCCCCGCAGAGAGACGACCUCAAGCUGCUCUGCGAACAAAACGAGGAGGAGGUCUCCCCGCAACUCUUCACCUUCCACGAGGCCGUGUCGCAGCUGGUUGAGAUGGAGGAGCAGGUUCUGGAGGACCACAGAGCUGUCUUCCAGGAAUCCAUCCGUUGCCUGGAGGACGAGAAGGUUCUGCUGGAGAUGACGGAGGAAGUAGAUUACGACGUGGAGUCGUACGCAACGCAGCUGGAGCAAAUCCUAGAGCAGAAGAUUGACAUCCUCACCGAGCUGAGAGAUAAAGUCAAGUCGUUCCGCUGUGCGCUGCAGGAGGAGGAACAAGCUAGCCAGCAAAUCACCCCCAGGAGGCCUCGUGCACUUUAGAUACACAUUGAAAUUUUCUGAACGAGAGGCAACAGCUCAUCUUUAGUGUUUCGUCUCUGCUGUACAGUAUAUACUUCAUCAUCACUAUCAUCGUCAUUAUCACCCCUUGCAGACCAUCCUUCAUAUUGCAGUCUGGUUGGUACUUAACAUUUUAUCAUUUAUGAUUGAAUGAUGCAACGAUGUGACGUUUGAGCCUUAUUAUUGACAUAAUUUUCACACUAUAAGCCACAGAGCCCAAAUUUCUCAAAAUUUAAAGGGAUCCACGGAUAGAAAGACUUGUAGUUCUUAAAAGAUAAUCGUUAUUAUGAGCUAAAAUAAUCUGAUAUUGAAACCCCUCUUGAUGUUUUCGCUUUUACACAAUUUGUAAAAUUAGUGUAACUGGUAGGUAGCCAUUGUUGUUGACGUCACAUGCUUACGCUGCCGGGUUUCUAGAGUAUGACUCUAGCGACAUAAGCAUAUCUUCUGUUCAACCCUUUCAAUUCGAACCCGAGAGGAACAUUAAUGAGCAUGAUAGUGCUGUCGAUAUUUCACAAAACGAGCAGCAAAAGCAAAAUUAACAGGAAAGAUGGGAUGAGACGAGAAGAGAGUAGGAAAAACACUGUUCUGCCAAAAUGUCGUACACCGUCGAAACGUGCUACAAGAGGCAAAUUUGAAACCCAAAGUAUUACCGUGCGCUUUCAGCUUGUUUUGUUAAGAUGUAUAUAGACAGAACAUACUAAAGAUGCCUUAAGAAAAUACUUAAAGUGCCUGUGACACAAAUUUUUUAAAAUUUCAUAUUACACGCGGUAUUUUAUGCUCCUGAAUGAAAUGGACCGCUUGGAUGUGUGUGGCAGCGAUCGAUAUAUUUAUUCAAUUUUUUGAAUCCCGUGCUACGAAAAUGAUUACUUCUGGCCACUGUCUCAGGUUGAGGUAGAAGGCGAAUGUGACAUUAGCGGACUAACCAUCUUCACAAUACAGCCCUUAGUAUCGUAUGCAGAAGGACUGCGGAUUAAGCUGAUUUUGCGGAUUAAUUUAUUUUUCACGUCACGCCAGCCCAAUGUGCUGCAGGCUUUUGUUGCUACACCAGAGAGAGUGGUGUGAGGCUUUUUGGAUUUCUAAAAGAUACUUUUCACCACGAAUAAUUGGCAGAACAAUUAUGACAAUGGAGCAACCACUGAACGGAUGACUAAGUGAGUAAGCUACGUGUUUUAUGUUAUGUCAAAUACUGGUAUCAAGGCAUACGUUUUAAUAAGGAGGUGGCUUGCAUGUGUGACAUGAGUCGGGGUAGUAUUGUAUGAUUUUUAGUUUUUGAAAGGCGAGGAAAAGACUCGGAAAAGCCGCUCAGUUCAGGUUAGCAUGUCGCCUAGCUGUCAAGCUUCCUGUUUUAUUUACGCGCUUUCCUCCGUCUUCGAAGCCGGGGCAGAGAAAUGACAAAAGCUGGAAUCUCUCUGGUGGCAUAAAAUACCGUUCGGGAGGUUUAAGAAGUCGGCAGUUUUGACCAUUAUGUAGUCAUUUUGCCCGGUCGUACUGAAUAAAUGCAUUUUUAAUAUUUUAUAUAGCACAAGACUGUUAUUUGCCAUGACCAUACCAUUUAUUUAGAAAUUGGGGAAAAAUACUUCAAUGAAAAGAAUAUCUUGUAAAAUAUAUUGGAGUAGAGAGAUUAAAACAAUCAUUUUGCUGCUCUCUGUUGCAUUUUCCUCUUUGUGAAUCUACCCCCUCAAUGGGCUGCAUCCUCAAUAAGCUGAAAUCGUUACUCUGCCAACGUCAUCACCCACUUGGAGGUGCUAUAGUGCUGUAAUGACAGGCAGGGCUAAACGGCAGAUUAAAAGACUAAUUUCUCGUCAUCUACGCUUUGCCAAAUUGUUGUAUAUAGUCGAAUCGUCUCAAAAAGAUUUUAAUUCACAUAAUAAUGCUAUUUAAGACUAUUUUUCAUCAUGUCACAGGCACUUUAAACGUGGUAAUAUCAAAUAAGGUCAACAGAUCAACAAUCUGCUUUAAAGCUACAACAAGAAAACGCAAUGCUUAAAAGUACGAGAGGGAAACACAUGCAAAAAGUAUUUUGAGGGAAUGAAAAACUAAUAAAAAACUCAAUAAAAACACAAAUAGUAAGUACUCACCGCUUUUAACCAAUGAGCGCAUGUGUUGGACGUCUCGCCGCUUAAAAGGAAUUGCAGUAACUCGGUAGUAUUCGUCGAAUGACGGUGACAAUCUACGACCAGGGUUGCUGACCCCUGAUCUACGUUAUCACCCAGAGCAUCCAUUGCGUGCUUAAAACAUAGCGCCCGUCGUAGGUCACAACAUGUACUGAACAUUAUAGAUUUUUGAAUCAAUGGCAAUAUUUUAUGUGUUUCUAAUAAUAUAUUUUAGUAAAAGAGUACAAUUGUGGCUUAUUAAAGCCGACAAGUCUUUAAGUCCGAGGUUCCCUUUAAGAAAGAAAUCCACAUAUAAAUACACCGCACCUGACUAAAAGCCACAUAUGUCCAUUUUUGAAUAUGGUAUAUUUACACAGAGAUGUGACACAGAAAUACUUGAUUGAAAUGCAAUUAUUAGCGUUGCACCGAUACUCUUGUCGCUUAUCCAUUUUGUAGAAACAAUUGCUAAUAACCUGACUUUUAAUUAUUCAAUUGGU